GUAGUCUUCCGGUAGGGAGGAAGAGUCGUCCAGGAAGGCGGGCGCUGCUAUGUCGUUCAGGGUAGGCGUGUUGCGGGUUCUGCUUGGCGUCUUCUUCGCGCUCACCGGGGCUGCCAAGCUCUUUCAGGUCUCGGCCCCCGUGUCACAACAGAUGGUGAGCGGCACCCGGGGAAGGACAGUGUGUGCUCGGUUCCCGGGGGCUUCAUGCCUUCGGGCUCGAGGCCGCCUGGGCCUUUCCUCCUAUUUUCUACACCUUCUCCAGGUGGGAGGGCACGGGACUUAACUGCUGGCUGAGCAUGUUGUCCCCAGGCCGAUUUAGAGUUGGAGAAGUGAUGGGACUCAGGAGGUCCAGGAAGACAAAGUGAAAAAGUGACCUAGCACCCCUCUCCACCCCACAUCCACCAACCCAUUGUUCCAGGUUGGGGAGGCAGAAUUUUACUUUAUUUGGUUUUUGUUUGUUUGUUUGAGCUGGUCUUCUGAAUGUGUCCCUCUGGCUGGCUGGCCCGGAGCUCACUCAGUGUAGUGGCUGGCCUCGAACUUGCAGAGAUCCACCUACCCCAACCUCCAGACUACUGGGAUUAACGGCUUACCUACCUUAGAAAUCUUUUUUAAGCUUGAAACUAGUCAUGAUGGUAAAAUGUAAUUUACCAAAACAUUACACAGCUAUUCAAGCAAGGCUCAAAGUAGACCAAUCUAACUAGACUCCUCAGUGUCCCACGCAGCCUGGGACAGAAGCAUAGAAGUCACUGACUGUAGUUCCUUAUCCCGAGAGGGUCUACCAGCAGUUUCCAGACCCUCAGAGAAGCCAGGCUCUGUGGAAGACCCCUGUUGCCACCUCCCAAGCCUGGGUACUACUACGAUUUUCUUCUCCUUUUCCUCCUCCUCCUCUCCUCCCUUCCUCCUUUUUUCUUCUUCCUUUCCUCUUUCUUCUUCCCCUCCUCUCCUCCCCUCCUCCUCCUCUUUUCUUCUUUCUUCUUCCCUAAGAUGGUGGGUUCUUUAGGAUAGAUAUGGUAAAAGCCAAACAGCUUAAACUCUCUGCAGGUGUGUCUCAUGUGCGGCCCUUGGACCACAUACACUCCAGGAUAGCUGUCACUGUAGCCCAGCAUAAAAGUGUAAAUUUAAAAUCCGUGCUUUUUUUCCCCCUUUCAAUUCAGCUGUGGGGUUCUGGAGCAGCUCUGUAGGUGACAGUAUGGAGCUCCCUCCUUGGAAGCCAGAGUAGGACAGGCAGGGCUGCUGUUGGACCACAGGAAACAGUCCUGAGGGUGGAGCAGGCCCAGGGAAGGGUCUGAGUAGGGUGUGUUACACCCCCUCAGCUGUUCCUUGUGUCUGCCACAGUAGAAUCAGGACCUGCAUAGAAGAUGGAAAGUGUCAGUCAUUCUCUAAGGAGUCUAUCCAUCCCACCUGCAGAUAUUCAGAGAGAAGAGAAACUAGACCUGGCACAAAGAGAAUCUGUAGCCCUUCCUAGGCCCUGGCCCUAGAUGGGAAAGCCAAGCCCUGCUCCCUUCUUCUGGGAUUUGAGCUGGGUUAUCAUCUAUGGAGAGGUCUGGUUAGGACAUAAAACCGACUACACCUGAAGCCCUUUUUCACACGGGCACGUCUGUUCCUAAUUCCAAAAGCCAGCCCUAUAGGUCAAGGUCAGCCCCUCCUUACCGGGCUCUUAAACUACUUGUAGCAGUUUUGUUAAGGGAGCCGGUUAUAGGCAGAGGAGGUCUCGGUGGUGCCUUCAGGCACUGCAUUUUCUGAUAAGUAGUACUGACAGGCGUUCCCUACCACUCGUAGAGAGCCUUGUUCGAGCAGUUUGCUGAGGUGUUUCCAUUGAAGGUGUUCGGCUACCAGCCAGACCCUAUAAGCUACCAGACAGCUGUGGGAUGGCUGGAACUGCUGGCUGGGUUGCUGCUGGUCGUGGGUCCACCUGUGCUACAGGAGAUCAGUAACGUGCUCUUGAUCCUACUCAUGAUGGGUAAGGGGGCAACUGGGCUCUCCUGGGGAUGAUAGAAAAAAAUCAGCGGUUUUUCCUUAUGCGGUCCUCUCUUUUCUGGGACUGGGAACACUUCCUGCUUUGCCACAGCUUCCCUAAUUUUGAGACCAGGAGUUUUUGAAAUGCCUUGUACCAUAUCCUGGACACUGUAACACUGUCACAUGCUUUCCCCAUGCUGUCUGUGGCUGCAGUGUCCCAGGGUAAGCAUGUAGCAUGGCCUCAAGAGCUCCUACUCUCUGAUCAAUGCUCACUGCUGUAGGGUGUGUAAUAGCAGUUACCACUUAAUGUAUAAUGUGUCUGUGGGUGCUGGAGCAGCCAGCAGGAAAGCUGGAGUCCCUUGACCGGAGAGGCAGAGGAUUUCUCUAGAAGGCACUUUCUCAGGAGUGCCACCAACAAGAGAUGCCAGUGUACAGACAGGUCAGCUGCUGCUGCAAAGGCUAGACACCCUUGUGCUGACUUGCGUGCCCUGGCCAGGGUCACGUUAUUGCCACUAAAACAUUCCGUGUGUAAAGCUUUCCUCAUUUUCAGAUCAUUAACACACUUUUUCCUCAAGCCCUUCAGCCCCAGUUUGAAUCCCUCCAGUAGAUUUAGGAUUAUUAAGAAAGAGGAGAGGGAAAGUUAGUUUCCACAUCCCAAUCUUCCCACUUUGACUCUCCCAUGCUCCAGGGCAUACAUUAGCUCUAGAGGCUUCUAUUUCUUUGUCCUGCUUCCUGGAAGUGGUGUAGAGGGGUGAUUAAUUGGGGUCAGGGGUCAGGGGUUGGUGAGCUGGAAUGGGUCAGCCUGGGCCAGAAUCCCUGAGUUCUUGGAUCCUCUGGGCGUCUUCCUUUCUGUUCUAGGGGCUGUCUUCACUCUGGUGGUUCUGAAAGAGCCACUGAGUACUUACGUCCCAGCUGCUGUCUGUCUGGGGCUCCUGCUGCUGCUGGAUUCCUGCCACUUCUUAGCUCGUACUAAGGGAGCGGUCAGAUGCCCGAGCAAGAAGAUUCCUCCUGCACACGGCAAUUGAGUCUUCAGACCAUGUAGCUACCACGGCAGGAACAGUCACAGCACACCAUCUACCACUUUGUCAGGUCCACAGUCAUUCAGUGUAAAAGAGCUGUCUUGUCUAGGCCUCAGUCUCCCCUAAUAACUAUGUUGCUCUGUUUUGAGGGCAGCAUUAAUACUUUUCAUGUGACAUGAAAACAGGAAGUAAGUGGGAAAGAAGCUAAAACCACUCCAAAUUCUAAUGCCCCAUGAGUAAUCUUCUCAAUGUUUUGGUGUGACUGUGCCUCGCCAUCUUUUUCUAUGAUUAUAUAAAGAUGCAUAUUUUUUUAAAUGAAAUGAGACAGUAUAGCCUAUUGUCCACCGUUAAGAUCCAGAGUUCUUUAACAUGACUCAUGUUUUUAUUUCAUCAAUGUUCAUGGCUUUUACUCUGUUCAUCAUGCUGAGGAUGAAGAAGUGGCUGAAGCGCUAGGAGCACUUGCUGCUUGUGCAAAGGGCCUGGGUUCAGUUCCCAGCAUCCUCAUGGCGGCUCAUAACCCUCUACAUCUGGUUUCAGAGGAUCUGGCACCCUCUCCUGGCCUUUUGGAGCACCAGACAUGCUCAUAGUAUGCAAAGCACUUAUGCACAUAAAAUAAACGUUUUUAAAGGC
rnacentral:lncRNA from 1 species